rnacentral:rRNA from 1 species
CCUACGGGCGGCAGCAGUGGGGAAUAUUGCACAAUGGGGGAAACCCUGAUGCAGCGACGCCGCGUGAGUGAAGAAGGAUCUCGGUACGUAAAGCUCCAUUAGCAGGGAAGAAAAUGACGGUACCUGACUAAGAAGCCCCGGCUAACUACGUGCCAGCACCGGCGGCAACACGUCGGGGGCCAGCGUUAUCCGGAUUUACUGGGGGUAAAGGGAGCGUAGGCGGGAGCACAUGUCUGGAGUGAAAUCCCUGGGCUUAACCCCCGAACUGCUUUGGAAACUGGGCGGCUGGAGUGCAGGAGGGGUAAGCGGAAUGCGUAGUGUAGCGGUGAAAUGCGUAGAUAUUAGGAGGAACACCGGUGGCGAAGGCGGCUUACUGGACUUUAACUGACGUUGAGGCUCGAAAGCGUGGGGAGCGAACAGGAUUAGAUACCCGAGUAGUC